UGGCUCAGAUUGAACGCUGGCGGCAGGCCUAACACAUGCAAGUCGAACGGUAGCACAGAGGAGCUUGCUCCUUGGGUGACGAGUGGCGGACGGGUGAGUAAUGUCUGGGGAUCUGCCCGAUGGAGGGGGAUAACUACUGGAAACGGUAGCUAAUACCGCAUAACGUCGCAAGACCAAAGUGGGGGACCUUCGGGCCUCACACCAUCGGAUGAACCCAGAUGGGAUUAGCUAGUAGGUGGGGUAACGGCUCACCUAGGCGACGAUCCCUAGCUGGUCUGAGAGGAUGACCAGCCACACUGGAACUGAGACACGGUCCAGACUCCUACGGGAGGCAGCAGUGGGGAAUAUUGCACAAUGGGCGCAAGCCUGAUGCAGCCAUGCCGCGUGUAUGAAGAAGGCCUUCGGGUUGUAAAGUACUUUCAGCGGGGAGGAAGGUGGUGAGGUUAAUAAGCUCAUCAAUUGACGUUACCCGCAGAAGAAGCACCGGCUAACUCCGUGCCAGCAGCCGCGGUAAUACGGAGGGUGCAAGCGUUAAUCGGAAUUACUGGGCGUAAAGCGCACGCAGGCGGUCUGUCAAGUCGGAUGUGAAAUCCCCGGGCUUAACCUGGGAACUGCAUUCGAAACUGGCAGGCUCGAGUCUCGUAGAGGGGGGUAGAAUUCCAGGUGUAGCGGUGAAAUGCGUAGAGAUCUGGAGGAAUACCGGUGGCGAAGGCGGCCCCCUGGACGAAGACUGACGCUCAGGUGCGAAAGCGUGGGGAGCAAACAGGAUUAGAUACCCUGGUAGUCCACGCCGUAAACGAUGUCGACUUGGAGGUUGUGCCCUUGAGGCGUGGCUUCCGGAGCUAACGCGUUAAGUCGACCGCCUGGGGAGUACGGCCGCAAGGUUAAAACUCAAAUGAAUUGACGGGGGCCCGCACAAGCGGUGGAGCAUGUGGUUUAAUUCGAUGCAACGCGAAGAACCUUACCUGGCCUUGACAUCCAGAGAACUUAGCAGAGAUGCUUUGGUGCCUUCGGGAACUCUGAGACAGGUGCUGCAUGGCUGUCGUCAGCUCGUGUUGUGAAAUGUUGGGUUAAGUCCCGCAACGAGCGCAACCCUUAUCCUUUGUUGCCAGCGAUUCGGUCGGGAACUCAAAGGAGACUGCCGGUGAUAAACCGGAGGAAGGUGGGGAUGACGUCAAGUCAUCAUGGCCCUUACGGCCAGGGCUACACACGUGCUACAAUGGCGCAUACAAAGAGAAGCGACCUCGCGAGAGCAAGCGGACCUCAUAAAGUGCGUCGUAGUCCGGAUUGGAGUCUGCAACUCGACUCCAUGAAGUCGGAAUCGCUAGUAAUCGUAGAUCAGAAUGCUACGGUGAAUACGUUCCCGGGCCUUGUACACACCGCCCGUCACACCAUGGGAGUGGGUUGCAAAAGAAGUAGGUAGCUUAACCUUCGGGAGGGCGCUUACCACUUUGUGAUUCAUGACUGGGGUGAAGUCGU
rnacentral:rRNA from 1 species